ensembl:misc_RNA Metazoa_SRP Metazoan signal recognition particle RNA
GCCAGGCAGAGUGACACAUGCCUGUAGCCCUACUCAGAAGGCAGGUUGAUCACUUGAGUCCAGGAGUUACGCACUGUAGUGUGCUAUGCCGAUUGGGUGUCUGCAUUAAGUUCAGCAUCAAUAUGGUGACCUCCCAGGAGCUGGGGACCACCAGGUUGCCUAAAGAGAGGUAAACCAGCCCAGGUCAGAAAUGGAGCAGAAAUGGAUCAGCUCCUGUGCUGACUGGUAGUGGGAUCAUGCCUAUGAAGAGCCACUGUACUCUAGCUUGUAAACUAAAGCAUGUUUCUUU